rnacentral:rRNA from 1 species
CCAGGUGCUGCACGGCUGUCGUCAGCUCGUGUCGUGAGAUGUUGGGUUAAGUCCCGCAACGAGCGCAACCCACGUCGUUAGUUACUAACAGUCGGCUGAGGACUCUAACCGAGACUGCCUGUACCAGGAGGAAGGUGUGGAUGACGUCAAGUCAUCAUGGCCCUUACGGCCAGGGCUACACACGUGCUACAAUGGCAAGUACAGAGGGCAGCAAUACCGCGAGGUGGAGCGAAUCCCACAAAGCUUGUCGUAGUCCGGAUUGGAGUCUGCAACUCGACUCCAUGAAGUCGGAAUCGCUAGUAAUCGUAGAUCAGAAUGCUACGGUGAAUACGUUCCCGGGCCUUGUACACACCGCCCGUCACA